GACGAACGCUGGCGGCGUGCUUAACACAUGCAAGUCGAACGGAAAGGCCCUGCUUUUGUGGGGUGCUCGAGUGGCGAACGGGUGAGUAACACGUGAGUAACCUGCCCUUGACUUUGGGAUAACUUCAGGAAACUGGGGCUAAUACCGGAUAGGAGCUCCUGCUGCAUGGUGGGGGUUGGAAAGUUUCGGCGGUUGGGGAUGGACUCGCGGCUUAUCAGCUUGUUGGUGGGGUAGUGGCUUACCAAGGCUUUGACGGGUAGCCGGCCUGAGAGGGUGACCGGCCACAUUGGGACUGAGAUACGGCCCAGACUCCUACGGGAGGCAGCAGUGGGGAAUAUUGCACAAUGGGCGGAAGCCUGAUGCAGCAACGCCGCGUGCGGGAUGACGGCCUUCGGGUUGUAAACCGCUUUCGCCUGUGACGAAGCGUGAGUGACGGUAAUGGGUAAAGAAGCACCGGCUAACUACGUGCCAGCAGCCGCGGUGAUACGUAGGGUGCGAGCGUUGUCCGGAUUUAUUGGGCAUAAAGGGCUCGUAGGUGGUUGAUCGCGUCGGAAGUGUAAUCUUGGGGCUUAACCCUGAGCGUGCUUUCGAUACGGGUUGACUUGAGGAAGGUAGGGGAGAAUGGAAUUCCUGGUGGAGCGGUGGAAUGCGCAGAUAUCAGGAGGAACACCAGUGGCGAAGGCGGUUCUCUGGGCCUUUCCUGACGCUGAGGAGCGAAAGCGUGGGGAGCGAACAGGCUUAGAUACCCUGGUAGUCCACGCUGUAAACGGUGGGUACUAGGUGUGGGGUCCAUUCCACGGGUUCCGUGCCGUAGCUAACGCUUUAAGUACCCCGCCUGGGGAGUACGGCCGCAAGGCUAAAACUCAAAGGAAUUGACGGGGCCCCGCACAAGCGGCGGAGCAUGCGGAUUAAUUCGAUGCAACGCGUAGAACCUUACCUGGGUUUGACAUGGAUCGGGAGUGCUCAGAGAUGGGUGUGCCUCUUUUGGGGUCGGUUCACAGGUGGUGCAUGGCUGUCGUCAGCUCGUGUCGUGAGAUGUUGGGUUAAGUCCCGCAACGAGCGCAGCCCUUGUUCACUGUUGCCAGCACGUUAUGGUGGGGACUCAGUGGAGACCGCCGGGGUCAACUCGGAGGAAGGUGGGGAUGACGUCAAGUCAUCAUGCCCCUUAUGUCCAGGGCUUCACGCAUGCUACAAUGGCUGGUACAGAGAGUGGCGAGCCUGUGAGGGUGAGCGAAUCUCGGAAAGCCGGUCUCAGUUCGGAUUGGGGUCUGCAACUCGACCUCAUGAAGUCGGAGUCGCUAGUAAUCGCAGAUCAGCAACGCUGCGGUGAAUACGUUCCCGGG
rnacentral:rRNA from 1 species